rnacentral:rRNA from 1 species
UACGUAGGCAGCAAGCGUUGUUCGGAAUUACUGGGCGUAAAGAGUGUGUAGGUGGUGUCGUAAGUUUGGUGUGAAAUCUCCCGGCUUAACUGGAGGGUGCGCCGAAGACUGCGAUGCUGGAGUAUGGAGAGGAAGCGGAAUCCUGGUGUAGCGGUGAAAUGCGUAGAUAUCAGGAGGAACACCUGCGGUGUAGACGGCUUUCUGGACCAUUACUGACACUGAGACACGAAAGCGUGGUAGCAAACAGG